GACAGAGGUGCCAAGCGUUAGGCGGAAUCACUGGGCUUAAAGCGUGUGUAGGCGGGUUUGUAAGUACCUUGUGAAAUCCCACGGCUUAACCGUGGAACUGCUUGGUAUACUGCGAAUCUUGAGCUGUCUAGGGGUUGCGGGAACAAACGGUGGAGCGGUGAAAUGCGUAGAUAUCGGGAGGAACACCAGUGGCGAAGGCGACUUCCUGGCCUGUUCUUGACGCUGAGGCGCGAAAGCUAGGGUAGCAAACGGG
rnacentral:rRNA from 1 species